rnacentral:rRNA from 1 species
AUGCACGCUGGCGGCGUGCCUAAUACCUGCCAGUCGCGCGAACAGACGAGGAGCUUGCUCCUCUGACGUUAGCGGCGGACGGGUGAGUAACACGUGGAUAACCUACCUAUAAGACUGGGAUAACUUCGGGAAACCGGAGCUAAUACCGGAUAAUAUAUUGAGCCGCAUGGUUCAAUAGUGAAAGACGGUUUUGCUGUCACUUAUAGAUGGAUCCGCGCCGCAUUAGCUAGUUGGUAAGGUAACGGCUUACCAAGGCAACGAUGCGUAGCCGACCUGAGAGGGUGAUCGGCCACACUGGAACUGAGACACGGUCCAGACUCCUACGGGAGGCAGCAGUAGGGAAUCUUCCGCAAUGGGCGAAAGCCUGACGGAGCAACGCCGCGUGAGUGAUGAAGGUCUUCGGAUCGUAAAACUCUGUUAUUAGGGAAGAACAAAUGUGUAAGUAACUAUGCACGUCUUGACGGUACCUAAUCAGAAAGCCACGGCUAACUACGUG